rnacentral:rRNA from 1 species
UACAGAGGGUGCAAGCGUUAAUCGGAAUUACUGGGCGUAAAGCGUGCGUAGACGGUUAUGUAAGUCGGGUGUGAAAGCCCCGGGCUCAACCUGGGAAUUGCAUUCGAGACUGCAUAGCUAGGGUGCGGAAGAGGGAAGCGGAAUUUCCGGUGUAGCGGUGAAAUGCGUAGAUAUCGGAAGGAACACCAGUGGCGAAAGCGGCUUCCUGGUCCAGCACCGACGUUCAGGCACGAAAGCGCGGGGAGCAAACAGG